rnacentral:rRNA from 1 species
CCCUUAGAUGUUCUGGGCCGCACGCGCGCUACACCGAUGCAUUCAACGAGCCUAUCCUUGACCGACAGGUCCGGGUAAUCUUUGAAUCUGCAUCGUGACGGGGAUAGAUUAUUGCAAUUAUUAAUCUUCAACGAGGAAUGCCUAGUAGGCGCAAGUCAUCAGCUUGCGUCGAUUACGUCCCUGCCCUUUGUACACACCGCCCGUCGCUCCUACUGAUUGGGUGUGCUGGUGAAAUGUUCGGAUCGGCCGUUUGUCGCGGUUUCCGCGUCAUGUGGCUGAGAAGUUCAUUAAACCCUCCCACCUAGAGGAAGGAGAAGUCGUAACA